rnacentral:lncRNA from 1 species
GGUGUUGCUUUUGAUAUUGAGCAUAUAUGGUGUCACCAAUGACACUCUUAGAUGGUUUGAGAAAUUGUUCAGUUGGCUUGAUAUCCACCCCAGCUUUACAGCACAAGUCCGUGACUAGGUGCAGAAAUAUAUACCAACCUUUGAUCCCUUAACGCAUUUCCACAUGUAGUCAUGGAUCCAAUUUUCAAAAUAUAUGCGCUUCUCCUACAAAAAGUCAUACAACAAAAUAGCUCAGAAGACAUUAACAUUAGAAUCAUUCAAAGCAAGACAAAUACGAGUAAAGAUUAAUUGUAUCCACAUUUGGCAUUCAAAAACAUAAUUGUCUGAUUAAAACUAAGUGGUAUUGUAGCAUUAGGCCUAUGUUCUUACACUCCCCUAUUUUUGGUUAAAAAAUUAAUUACGACAUCCAUAUCAAUUUUCGGAAUAAUGGUCGCGUCCACUUUAUUCAAAUAAUCGCGUUUGGAAUAUGGAAUGUCAUAAUAUUUACAUAUAGCACAAGCGAAAAUGUCAACUUUUUUCCCUCGAACAAAACUCUAUCACCCUCAGUGUAUUUUAGAUUAGCAUAAAAUUCUAUUACGACUGGGGAAACGGCGGUCUAUUUCAAGAGAAGGAAAAAUGUGUAUCAACCAUGGUGCUUGGCUAAGUCCAACAACUCAUUACAAAAAGGACGUGGCUAGAUCAAAGAUCAAAGCCACGCUCUUGAAUAAAAGUUUGGCUCUGAAGUUCUAAAAAAGUAGUCAUCAGCCUCCUUACACUUAUUUUUUUCACAUUAUGAUCAGGAGACGAGCAUGCAAACAUGAUAAGUGAUAUUCAACAAUAACCCACAAUAAUCAUUCAACCUAAAAUUUUGCAAGAAUAUAUGAAAACGCCCUAAAAGUUGAAGUUUAGAAUCCUUAACCUUAGUUUUGGAGAAGUAGAAGAUGAAUGUUGAC